CGGGUGCACUGAUCCAGCCGGGCCUUUCCCUCUGUGGAACCUCAUGGCCUUCACUGGCUGUGCUGGGGAAACAGGACUUUUACUGUGAAAAAAUUAGAGUGCUUAAGGCAGGCCUAUGCUCGAAUACAUUAGCAUGGAAUAAUAGAAUAGGACGUGUGGUUCUAUUUUGUUGGUUUCUAGGACCGCCGUAAUGAUUAAUAGGGACAGUCGGGGGCAUCAGUAUUCAAUUGUCAGAGGUGAAAUUCUUGGAUCUAUUGAAGACUAACUACUGCGAAAGCAUUUGCCAAGGAUGUUUUCAUUGAUAAGGAACGAAAGUUAGGGGAUCGAAGACGAUCAGAUACCGUCGUAGUCUUAACUAUAAACUAUGCCGACUAGGGAUCGGACGAUGUUAUUUCUUGACGCGUUCGGCACCUUUCGAGAAAUCAAAGUGCUUGGGCUCCAGGGGGAGUAUGGUCGCAAGGCUGAAACUUAAAGAAAUUGACGGAAGGGCACCACCAGGGGUGGAACCUGCGGCUUAAUUUGACUCAACACGGGGAAACUCACCAGGUCCAGACACAGUGAGGAUUGACAGAUUGAGAGCUCUUUCUUGAUUCUGUGGGUGGUGGUGCAUGGCCGUUCUUAGUUGGUGGAGUGAUUUGUCUGCUUAAUUGCGAUAACGAACGAGACCUUAACCUGCUAAAUAGCCCGUACUGCUUUGGCAGUUCGCCGGCUUCUUAGAGGGACUAUCGG
rnacentral:rRNA from 1 species